UGUAGUUCCUGCUUGUGCCCAGGUCC
rnacentral:piRNA from 1 species